rnacentral:rRNA from 1 species
GAUGAACGCUGGCGGCGUGCCUAACACAUGCAAGUCGAACGGAAGGACGAUAAGCUUGUUUUGUUGAUGUUUGCGGCGGGCGGGCGUGUAACGCGUGUAUCAUCCACUUAUAUUUCGGGGAUAAUCACGGAAAACGGGAUCAUAUACGACAGAAUAUUCUGCACCGCUGGGUGCAAAGGAGAAUCGCGGCGUUCGCGUCUGAUAUAGCGGCUUCCGCGCUUGAUUGUGUGGUUGGUAAGGUAACGGCUUACCAAGGCGACGAUGCGUAGCCGACCUGAUAGGGUGAUAGGCCACACUGGAACUGGGACACGGUCCAGACUCCUACGGGAGGCAGCAGUAGGGAAUCUUCGGCAAUGGGCGGAAGCCUGACGGAGCAACGCCGCGUGAGUGAUGAAGGUCUUCGGGUCGUAAAGCUCUGUUAUUGGGGAAGAACAUCUGUGGAAUUAACUGUAGACGUCUUGACGGUACCUAAUCAAAAAGCACCGGCUAACUACGUG